GACGAACGCUGGCGGCGUGCUUAACACAUGCCAGUCGAACGGAAAGGCCCUGCUUUUGUGGGGUGCUCGAGUGGCGAACGGGUGAGUAACACGUGAGUAACCUGCCCUUGACUUUGGGAUAACUUCAGGAAACUGGGGCUAAUACCGGAUAGGAGCUCCUGCUGCAUGGUGGGGGUUGGAAAGUUUCGGCGGUUGGGGAUGGACUCGCGGCUUAUCAGCUUGUUGGUGGGGUAGUGGCUUACCAAGGCUUUGACGGGUAGCCGGCCUGAGAGGGUGACCGGCCACAUUGGGACUGAGAUACGGCCCAGACUCCUACGGGAGGCAGCAGUGGGGAAUAUUGCACAAUGGGCGGAAGCCUGAUGCAGCAACGCCGCGUGCGGGAUGACGGCCUUCGGGUUGUAAACCACUUUCGCCUGUGACGAAGCGUGAGUGACGGUAAUGGGUAAAGAAGCACCGGCUAACUACGUG
rnacentral:rRNA from 1 species